CCUACGGGGGGCAGCAGUGGGGAAUAUUGCACAAUGGGGGAAACCCUGAUGCAGCGACGCCGCGUGAGUGAAGAAGUAUUUCGGUACGUAAAGCUCUAUCAGCAGGGGAGAAAAUGACGGUACCUGACUAAGAAGCCCCGGCGAACUACGUGACAGCAGCCGCGGUAAUACGUAGGGGGCAAGCGUUAUCCGGAUUUACUGGGUGUAAAGGGAGCGUAGACGGCAGCGCAAGUCUGGAGUGAAAUCCCAUGGCUUAACCAUGGAACUGCUUUGGAAACUGUGCAGCUAGAGUGCAGGAGAGGUAAGCGGAAUUCCUGGUGUAGCGGUGAAAUGCGUAGAUAUUAGGAGGAACACCAGUGGCGAAGGCGGCUUACUGGACUGUAACUGACGUUGAGGCUCGAAAGCGUGGGGAGCAAACAGGAUUAGAUACCCGUGUAGUC
rnacentral:rRNA from 1 species